GACGAACGCUGGCGGCGUGCCUAACACAUGCAAGUCGAACGGAGAGCAUAUGAAGUAUUUCGGUACGGAAUGCGCUCUUAGUGGCGAACGGGUGAGUAACACGUGGGCAACCUGCCCCAGACUGGGGGAUAACAUUGUGAAAACAGUGCUAAUACCGCAUGACAGGGUUCCGGGCAUCCGGGGCUCUUGAAAGGAGAAAUCCGGUCAGGGGAUGGGCCCGCGUCCAAUUAGCUAGUUGGUGAGGUAACGGCCCACCAAGGCGACGAUGGGUAGCCGGCCUGAGAGGGUGAACGGCCACACUGGGACUGAGACACGGCCCAGACUCCUACGGGAGGCAGCAGUUGGGAAUCUUCGGCAAUGGGCGCAAGCCUGACCGAGCAACGCCGCGUGAGUGAUGAAGGUUUUCGGAUUGUAAAGCUCUGUCUUCCGGGACGAUAAUGACGGUACCGGAGGAGGAAGCCACGGCUAACUACGUGCCAGCAGCCGCGGUAAGCAUACUCGUA
rnacentral:rRNA from 1 species